UUUUCGCCACGAAUUCACGAAUUAUUCUUCUUCUUUUUAAUGAAGAAAAUUCGUGAAUUCGUGGCUAUUU
rnacentral:misc_RNA from 1 species